UCUUCCCCCUCCCGUCAUUUGUUUCCUUGUGCGUUAACACUUCACCUCUAAUUCUCGUUCUAAUAUCGAUUAAAAUGCCCCUGCUUAUUGACUCACAUUUGCGUAUAAACCAGCGGACCCUAAUUUCAGAUGCGCGUAACGUCGAACGACCCGUCUGAAAAAAAAUUGGUGCGACACGAGGACUUCCCAGGAGGUCACCCAUCCGAGUACUAAUCUCGCCCAAGCACACUUAACUGCGGAGUUCUGAUGGGAUCCAGUGCAAUAGUGCUGGUAUGAUUGCACCAAUUUAAUUUUGCGCUACAAUUACAUAAACUCAUUCCACUUUCUUCCCCCUCUCGUCAUUUGUUUGCUUGUGCGUGCGCACUGCACCUCCCGUGCUCGUUUUAAUAUAAAGUAAAAUGCUACGGUGCCGUGACUCACAUUUGCGAAUAAACCUGAGGACCAUAAUUCACGUCGCGCGUAUCGUCGAAAGAAUCAUCUGCAAAAAAAUGGGUGGAACACAAGGACUUCCUAAGAAAAUGGGUGAAAUAUAAGGACUUUGCAGGAGGUCACCCAUCCUAGUGCUACUCUCGCCCAAGCACACUUAACUGCGGAGUUCUGAUGGGAUCCGGUGCAUUAGUGCUGGUAUGAUCACACUCGUUUAAUUCCGCGCUACAAAUACAUAAACUCCUUCUCCUUUCUUCCCCCUCCCGUCAUUUGUUUCCUUGUGCGUGCGCACUCCACCUACCGUACUCGUUCUAAUAUAAAGUAAAAUGCUACGGUGCCGUGACUCACAUUUGCGAAUAAAUCUGAGGACCAUAAUUCAAGUCCCGCGUAUCGUCGAGAGAAUCAUCUGCAAAAAAAUGGGUGAAAUAUAAGGACUUCGCAGGAGGUCACCCAUCCUAGUGCUACUCUCGCCCAAGCAGCCUUAACUUGGGGAGUUCUGAUAGAAUCCGUUGCAUUGGUGCUGGUGUGAUUGCUCAUGUUUCAUUCUGCACUGCAAAUACAUACACUUUUUCUCCCUCCAUCCCCCCUCCCGUCAUUUGUUUCCUUAUGCGUGCACUCUGCAUCUCUCUUUCUCGUUCUAAUAUCGAUUAAAAUGCCCCUGCUUCUUGACACACAUUUGCGUAUAAACGACUGGACCCUAGUUCCAGUCGCGCGUAACGUCGAACGACCCGUUUGAAAAAAAAAUUAGUGCGACACGAGGACUUCCCAAGAGGUCACCCAUCCGAGUACUACUCUCGCCCAAGCACACUUAACUGCGGAGUUCUGAUGGGAUCCGAUGCAUUAGUGCUGGUAUGAUC
rnacentral:lncRNA from 1 species